rnacentral:rRNA from 1 species
UACCAGCACCCCGAGUGGUCGGGACGAUUAUUGGGCCUAAAGCAUCCGUAGCCGGUUCUGCAAGUCCCCCGUUAAAUCCAGCUGCUCAACAGAUGGGCCGCGGAGGAUACUACAGAGCUAGGAGGCAGGAGAGGCAAGCGGUACUCAGUGGGUAGGGGUAAAAUCCGUUGAUCCAUUGAAGACCACCAGUGGCGAAGGCGGCUUGCCAGAACGCGCUCGACGGUGAGGGAUGAAAGCUGGGGGAGCAAACCGGGAUUAGAA